UACGAAGGGGGCGAGCGUUGUUCGGAAUUACUGGGCGUAAAGGGCGCGUAGGCGGCCUUCUAAGUCGGACGUGAAAUCCCUCGGCUUAACCGAGGAACUGCGUCCGAUACUGAAAGGCUUGAAUCCGGGAGAGGGAUGUGGAAUUCCAGGUGUAGCGGUGAAAUGCGUAGAUAUCUGGAGGAACACCGGUGGCGAAGGCGGCAUCCUGGACCGGUAUUGACGCUGAGGCGCGAAAGCUAGGGGAGCAAACGGG
rnacentral:rRNA from 1 species